rnacentral:rRNA from 1 species
GCAGUAGCCGCGGUAAUACGAAGGGUGCAAGCGUUAAUCGGAAUUACUGGGCGUAAAGCGCACGCAGGCGGUUUGUUAAGUCAGAUGUGAAAUCCCCGAGCUUAACUUGGGAACUGCAUUUGAAACUGGCAAGCUAGAGUCUUGUAGAGGGGGGUAGAAUUCCAGGUGUAGCGGUGAAAUGCGUAGAGAUCUGGAGGAAUACCGGUGGCGAAGGCGGCCCCCUGGACGAAGACUGACGCUCAGGUACGAAAGCGUGGGGAGCAAACAGGAUUAGAUACCCGCGUAGUCCCUGUCUCUUAUAC